rnacentral:rRNA from 1 species
GUCUCAGUUCGGAUUGCAGGCUGCAACUCGCCUGUAUGAAGUCGGAAUUGCUAGUAAUCGCGGAUCAGCAUGCCGCGGUGAAUACGUUCCCGGGCCUUGUACACACCGCCCGUCACACCAUGAGAGCCGGGAACACCCGAAGUCCGUAGUCUAACCGUAAGGAGGACGCGGCCGAAGGUGGGUUUGGUAAUUGGGGUGAAGUCGUAACAAGGUACC